CGGCAGGAUCGGGCAGGUUGGUGCGACAGGCCCGCCACAUCACGCUGGUUACCCGUCCCCUAGACAUUCUCUUUUUUUUGUUGGCCUCUUUGUUCUCGGUCGUUGUUGUGUGUUUGGUUUAUUGCUCUUUUUUUCCUUUGCUCGUCCUUGCAAGUGCGUCUGGCCGGGUGGGGCGGAUCGCGGCCGGCGUCUGCUUAUGGCCGGUCGCCCAAAGACCGGGCUCUCGUCGUCUGGCCCGGUACCGCCGAGUCGCGUAGAAUGGGCUCUAGUCGACCAAACAACGCACCAAUCAAAAAAAAGGCAGAAAGGUAUCGGCGACGCGCAGGCGAUGCGCACGGACCAACUCCACUUUGCUUUUGCAUCGAUUUGCUGCGAGAGCAAAACCCAAACUGAACCUCGAUCACGACCAAUUUGCGUCCUCCGCCCGAGUUUCAAUAUGGUCAGGCUCCCGAUUCCCACCAAUGUGUGAUUUUGUAUCCAACGGCAGGUUGUCGCCAUCUUUUGUGAUGAUGGCAACGAUGGCGACAAGCGCAGGCGCAAAGUCGAUCCUUGCCCCCAUCAACCAAACCGUGGCCAACUUAGUCUCUGUC
rnacentral:lncRNA from 1 species